rnacentral:lncRNA from 1 species
AUGACAGGUUUCUCCUCACAGCUGGAGAACUGUCUCAUGUUAGCUUUUUUAGCUCUAAAGGCCCAGAGAGAAACCAGGAGCACUAUUGCUGUAUGUGGUGGGAGACCAGCAGUCAAUGCUAAAUGGGAGAAAUCAAAGAAUGCUGGAGUGGGAAGGAACCACAGAGAAUUCAAUGGCGUCAUUUUACAGACAUGCAGUUGGGAGGAAGGUACUGAAACAAAGGGAGAUACUAAGGACACUAAGACAUCUGUUCCAAUGAAAAAUGAGAAAUAA